CUCACCAGAACCACCUGCCGGACACGCCAAAAUCACCAGCCGGCUACGCCACAAUCACUUGUCAGACAUUCCGGAAUCACCUGCCGGGCAUGCUGGAACCACCUCUCAGAGGUGCCACAACCACAUGCCGGAGAUGCUGGAAGCACCUGCCGAGAAUGCUGGAAGUUCCUGAUCCACUCCACAGAACCACCAGCCGGAAACGCCAAAAUCACCUGCCUGCUACACCAGAACCACUUGGCAGGCAAGCCAAAAUCACGUGAAGGGCAUGCCGACACAACCUCUCUGACGUGCCAGAACCUCGUGCUGGACACCCCAGAACCACCUGCCGGACACACUGGAGCCAUCUGCCGGACACGCCGGAACCACCGGCUCGACUCGCCGGAACCACUGCUGGACAUGCAAAAUCACCUGCCAGCUACGCCAGAACCAAUUGGCGGACACUCCAGAAACACCUGUCAGGCCGGCCGGAACCACCUGCACGACUCCCCAGAACCAGCUGCCGGACAUGCCAAAAUCACUUGCCGGCUACACCACAACCAGUUGGUGGACACUUCGGAAUCACCAGCCGGGCUGGCUGGAACCACCUGCCGGUCACGCCCACAUCACCUGUCAGCUCCGCCAGAACCACUUGGCGGACACUCCGGAAACACCUGUCGGGCCGGCCGGAACCACCUCUCAGACGUGCCAGAACCAUGUGCCUGAGAUGCCGGAACCACACCCCGAACAGACCGAAGCCACCUGCCACACCCGCCUGAACCACCUGCCGAGCACGCCGGGACCACCUGCACGACUCGCCGGAACCAACUACCUGACACGCCAAAAUCACCUGCCGGCUAUGCAAGAACCACUUGGUGAACACUCCGGAAUCACCAGCCGGGCAUGCCGGAACCACCUCUCAGACAUGCCGGAAUCACAUACCAAUGACACUGGAAGGACCUGCCGAGCAUGCCGGAACCACCUGCUCGACUCUCCAGAACCCCCUGCCGGACACGCCAAAAUCACCUUCCGGGUAUGCCAGAACCACUUGGAGGACACUCCAGGAUCACCUUUCGGGCAUGCCAGAACCACUUCUCAGACUUGCCAGAACCAUGUUCCGGACACGCCGGUACCACCUGCCGAGUAUGCCGGAACCACCUGAUACACUCUGCAGAACCACCUGCUUUGCAUGCCAAAAUCACCUGCCAGCUACGCCAGAACCACUCUGCAGACACUCCGGAACCAUCUCCAAGAUAGACCGGAACCACCUGCCUGACACGCCGGGACCACCUGUUUGACUCGCCAGAACCACCUGCCAGACACGCCAAAAUCACCAGCCGGCUACGCCACAACCACUUGUCGGACACUCCGGAAUCACCUGCCGGGCAUGCUGGAACCACCUCUCAGAGGUGCCACAACCACAUGCCGGAGACGGCGGAAGCACCUGCCGAGAAUGCCGGAAGUUCCUGAUCCAUUCCACAGAACCGCCUGCCGGACACGCCAAAAUCACCGGCCGGCUACGCCAGAACCACUUGGCGGACACUCCAGAAUCACCUGCCGGGCAUGCCAGCACAGCCUCUCUGAAGUGCCAGAAGCACGUGCCGGACAGGCCGGAACCAUCUCCCGGAAAGACCGGAACCAAAGGAAACACUCGCCGGAGCAACCUGCUUGACUCACCAGUCCCACCUGCCUGACAUGCCAAUAUCACCUGCCCGCUACAGGAGAAUCACUUGGGGGACAAGCCGGAAUCACGUGAAGGGCAUGCCAACACAACCUCUCAGACGUGCCAGAGCCUCGUGGCGGACACCACAGAACCACCUGCCGGACACACCGGAACCACCUGCCGGACACGCCGGAACCACUUGGCGAACACUGCAGAAUCACCUGUUGGGCAUGCCGGAACCACCUCUCAGACUUGCCAGAACCAUGUAGCAGACAGGCCGGUACCACCUGCCGAGUAUGCUGGAACCACCUGAUCCACUCCCCAGAAACACCUGCUGGACACGCCAAAAUCACUUGCCAGCUACACCACAACCAGUUGAUGGACAAGCCGGAAUCACGUGAAGGGCAUGCCGACACAACCUCUCAGACGUGGCAGAAACUCGUGCCAUACACCCCAGAACCACCUGCCGGACACACCGGAACCACCUGCCCGACACGCCGGAACCACCGGCUCGACUCGCGGGAACCACCGCCGGACAUGCAAAAUCACCUGCCGGCUACGCCAGAACCAUUUGGCGAACACUCCAGAAUCACCUGCCGGGCAUGCCGGAACCACCUCUCAGACAUGCCAGAACCACAUGCCAAUGACACCGGAAGCACCUGCCGAGCACGCUGGAACCACCUGCUCGACUCGCCAGAACCACCUGCCAGACACGCCAAAAUCACCUGCCGGCUAGGCCACAAUCAGUUGGUGAAUACUUCGGAAUCACCUGCCGGUCACGCCAACAUCACCUGCCAGCUACGCCAGAACCACUUGGCGCACACUCCGGAAACACCUGUCAGGCCGAAGGGAAACAACUCUCAGACGAGCCAGAACCAUGUGCCUGAGAUGCCGGAAUCACACCCCGAACAGACCGAAACCACAUGCCAGACCCGCCUGAACCACCUGCUGAGCACGCCGGAACGACCUCCUUGACUCGCCGGAACCACCUACCUGACACGCCAAAAUCAACUGCUGGGUAUGCCAGAACCACUUGGUGGAAACUCCGGAAUCAUCUGCCGGACAUGCAAGAACCAGCUCUCAGACACGCCAGAAUCACGUGCCCGACACGCCGGAAGCACCUGCUGCGCAUGCCUGAGCCACCUGCUCGACUCGCAAGAAACACCUGCCGGACACGCCAAAAUCACCUACCAGGUAUGCCAGAACCACUCGGCGGACACUCCAGAAUCACGUGUCUGGUAUGCCGGAACCACCUCUCAGAGGUGCCAGAACCACAUCCUGGACACGCCGGAAUCACCUGUCGGGCAUGCCGGAACCACCUCUCAGACUUGCCAGAACCAUGUUCCGGACAUACCGGUACCACCUGCCGAGUAUGCCGGAAUCACCUUAUCCACUCCCCAGAACCACCUGCUGGACACGCCAUAAUCACCUGCCGGCUACGCCAGAAACACUCGUCAGACACUCCAGCCACCUCUAGGACAGACCAGAACCACCUGCAGGACACGCCGGAACCACUGGCUCGAAUCUCCGGAACCACUGCCGGACAUGCAAAAUCACCUGCCGGCUACGCCAGAACCACUUGGCGAACACUCCGGAAUCACCUGCCGGGCAUGCCGGAACCACCUCUCAGACAUGCCAUAACCACAUGCCAAUGACACCGGAAACACCUGCCGAGCAGGCUGGAACCACCUGCUCGACUCGCCACAGCCACCUGACGGACACGCCAAAAUCACCUGCCAGCUACACCAGAACCAAUCGGCAGGCAUUCCGCAACCACCUCCAGGACAGACCGGAACCACCUUCCGGACAGACCGGAACCACUGGAAACACUCGCAGGAACAACCUGCUUGACUCACCGGUCCCACCUGCCGGACACACCAAAAUCACCUGCUCGCUACACCAGAACCACUUGGCGGACAAGCUGGAAUCACAUGAAGGGCAUGCCGACACAAUCUCUCAGACGUGCGAGAACCUCGUGCCGGACACCCCAGAACCACCUGCCGGACAGACCGGAACCACCUGCCGGACACACCGGAACCACUGGCUCAACUCUCCGGAACCAACGCUGGACAUGCAAAAUCACCUGCCGGCUACGCCAGAACCACUUGGUGAACACUCCGGAAUCACCUGUCGGGCAUGCCGGAACAACCUCUCAGACAUGCCAGAAGCACAUGCCAAUGACACUGUAAGCACCUGCCAAGCACACCGGAACCACCUGCUUGACUCGUAAGAACCACCUGCCGAGCACGCCAAAAUCACCUGCCGGGUACGCCAGAACCAAUUGGCGGACACUCCGGAAUCACCUGUCGGGCAUGCCGGAACCAACUCUCAGAAUUGCCGGAACCAUGUUCCGGACACGCCGGUACCACCUGCCGAGUAUGCCGGAACCACCUGAUCCACUCCCAAGAACCACAUGCUGGACAUGCCGGAACCACCUGCCUGACAGGCCAAAAUCAUAUGACACUCCAGAAUCACCUGCAGGGCAGGCCAGCAGAACCUCUCAGAAGUGCCAGAAGCACGUGCCGGACAGCCCGGAACCAUCUGCUGGACAGACCGGAAAGACAGGAAACACUUGCUGGAACCACCUGCUUGACUCACUGGUCCCACCUGCCGAACAUGCAAAAUCACCUGCCGGCUACGCCAGAACCACUUGGCGAACAGUCUGGAAUCACCUGCCGGACAUGCUGGAACCACGUGCCAAUGACACCGGAAGCACCUGCCGAGCACACCGGAACCACCUGCUCGAAUUGCCAGAACCACCUUUUGGACACGCCAAAAUAACCAGCAGGCUAUGCCACAACGACUUGUUGGACAUUCCGGAAUCACCUGACGGUCAUGCUGGAACCACCUCUCAGAGGUACCACAAACACAUGCCAGAGACGGCGGAAGCACGUGCCGAGAAUGCCAGAAGUUCCAGCUCCACUCCACAGAACCGCCUGCCGGACACGCCAAAAUCUCGUGCCGGCUACGCCAGAACCACUUGGCGGACACUCCAGAAUCACCUGCCGGCAUGCCAGCACAACCUCUCAGAAGUGCCAGAAGCACGUGCCGGACAGGCCGUAACCAUCUCCCGGAGAGACCGGAACAACAGGAAACACUCGCCGGAACCACCUGCUUGACUCACCGGUCCCACCUGCCGGACAUGCCAAAAUCACCUGCCCGAUACACCAGAACCACUUGGUGGACAAGCUUGAAUCACGUGAAGGGCAUGCUGACACAACCUCUCAGACGUGCCACAACCUCGUGCCGGACACCCCAGAACCACCUGCCGGAAAGACGGGAACCACCUGCCGGACACCCCGGAACCACCGGCUCAAGUCGCCGGAACCACCGCGGGACAUGCAAAAUCACCUGCCGGCUACGCCAGAACCAUUUGCCGAACACUCCGGAAUCACCUGCCGGGCAUGACGGAACCACCUCUCAGACAUGCCAGAACCACAUGCCAAUGACACCGGAAGCACCUGCCGAGCACGCCAGAACCACCUGCUCGACAUGCCACAGCCACCUGCCGGACACGCCAAAAUCACCUGCCGGCUACACCUGAACCACUUGGCGGACACUUCAGAAUCACCUGCCGGGCAUGCCAGCACAACCUCUCAGAAGUGCCAGAAGCACAUGCCGGACAGGCCGGAACCAUCUCCCAGACAGACCGGAACCACGGGAAACACUCGCCGGAACCACCUGCUUGACUCACCGGUCCCACCUGCCGGACACGCCAAAAUCACCUGCCCGCUACACCAGAACCACUUGGCGGACAAGCCGGAAUCACGUGAAGGACAUGCACACACAACCUCUCAGACGUGCCAGAACCUCGUGCCGGACACCCCAGAACCACCUGCCGGACACACUGGAACCACCUGCUGGACACACCGGAACCACCGGCUCGACUCGCUGGAACCACCUACCUGACACGCCAAAAUCACCUGCCGGGUAUGCCAGAACCACUUGGUGGACACUCUGGAAUCAUCUGCCGGACAUCCCAGAACCAGCUCUCAGACAGACCAGAAUCACGUGCCGGACAUGCCGGAAGCACCUGCUGCGCAUGCCUGAGCCACCUGCUCGCCUCGCAAGAAACGCCUGCUGGACACGCCAAAAUCACCUGCCAGGUACGCCUCAACCACUCAGCGGACACUCCGGAAUCACCUGUCGGGCAUGCCGGAACCACCUCUCAGAGGUGCCAGAACCACAUCCCGGACACUCCGGAAUCACCUGUCGGGCAUGCCGGAACCACCUCUCAGACUUGCCAGAACCAUGUUCCGGACACGCCGGGACCACCUGCCGAGUAUGCCAGAACCACCUGCUCCACUCCACAGAACCGCCUGCGGGACAUGCCAAAAUCACCUGUCGGCUAUGCCAGAACCACACGGCAGACACUCCGGAAACACCUCCACGACAGACCAGAACCACCUGCCGGAUACGCCGGAACCACCGGCUCGAUUCGCAGGAACCCCCGCAGGACAAGCAAAAUCAGCUGCCGGCUAUGCCAGAACCACUCUGUGAACAAUCCCGAAUCACCUUCCGGGCAUGCCGGAACCACCUCUCAGACAUGCCAGAACCACAUGCCAAUGACACUGGAAGAACCUGCCGAGCACGCCAGAACCACCUGCCCGACUCGCCAGAACCACCUGACAGACACGCCAAAAUCACCUGCCGGCUACGCCACAACCAGUUGGUGAACACUUCGGAAUCACCUGCCGGGCUGGCUGGAACCACCUGCUGGUCACGCCCACAUCACCUGUCAGCUACGCCAGAACCACUUGGCGUACACUCCGGAAACACCUGUCGGGCCGGCCGGAACCACCUCUCAGAUGUGCCAGAACCAUGUGCCUGAGAUGCCGGAAGCACACCCCAACAGACCGAAACCACCUGCCAGAGCCGCCUGAACCACCUGCCGAGCACGCCGGAUCCACCUGCUCGACUCGUCGGAACCACCUACCUGACACGCCACAAACAACUGCUGGCUAUGCCAGUACCACUUGGCGAACCCUCCGGAAUCACCUGCCGGGCAUGCCGGAACCGCCUCUCAGACAUGCCAGAACCACAUGCCAAUGACACCGGAAGGACCUGCCGAGCACGCCGGAACCACCUCUCAGACAUGCCAGAACCACAUGCCAAUGACACUGUAAGCACCUGCCGAGCACACCGGAACCACCUGCUUGACUCGUCAGAACCACCUGCCGGGCACGCCAAAAUCACCUGCCGGGUAUGCCAGAACCACUUGGCGGACACUCCGGAAUCACCUGUCGGCAUGCCGGAACCACCUCUCAGACUUGCCGGAACCUUGUUCUGGACAUGCUGGUAACACAUGCCCGGUAUGCCGGAACCACCUGAUCCACUCCCCAGGAACACCUGCUGGACACGCCAAAAUCACCUGCCGGCUACGCCACAACCACUCGGCAGACAAUCUGCAACCACCUCCAGGACAGACCGGAACCACCUGCUGGACACGCCGGGACCACCUGCUGAGCAUGCCGGAACAACCUGCUUGACUCGCUGGAGCCACCUGCCGGACAUGCCAAAUCAGCUGCCGGCUAUGCCAGAACCACUUGCCGGACACUCCAAAAUCACCUGCCUGGCGUGCCGGAACCACCUGAUCCACUCCCCAGAACCACCUGCUGGACCCGCCUGAACCACCUGCCGGCUACACGGGAACCACUUGGCGGACACUCCGGAAUCACCUGCCGUGCAUGCCGGAACCACCCCUCAGACGUGCCUGAAAAACGUGCCGGACACGCCGGAACCACCUCCCGGACUAACCGGAACCACCUUUCGGACAUGCCUGAACCACCUUACGAGCACGCUGGAACCACCUGCUCGACUUGGUGGAACCAUCUGCUGGAGACACCAAAAUCACCUGCCGGCUACGCCAGAACCACUUGCCGACACUCCGGAAUAACCUGCCAUUCAUCCCGGAACCGCCCCUCAGAUGUGCCAGAACCAGGUGCUGGACGCCCCAGGCCUCUUCCGUGAAAGACUGGAACCACCUGCUGAGCAUUCUGGAAACACCUGCUCGACUCCCGGGAACCGCCUCUGGGGAAACUGUCAUAGAAAUGCAGGUAAAACGGCCUUUCUUGCCAGCCCUUAACUCGCCACUUUAGAACUUCUGCUUCUGCCACAAUUGCACCUUGCCAACCCAGCUCAGACGAAAUGCCUACAUCUUCCCCUGAAGCAACUGGCCUGAGUCCCAAAUGAUUGAGCGUCCACGUGCUUAGGAGGCGAUAGACUGCACGCCUUUUUCCAACCACCAUUGUGCACUGCUGGAGAGAGUGUCAGAAAGCAGCUAUGUCAGAAAGACCCCUUUGGUCUCAGCCGUGCCCUCCAUUGCUCUAGACGUGGAAUGCACAAUGCACUGGCUCCCCCCCUCAAGGGGCGACAAGCCACAGACCACCUUGCUUCCAUCUCUUUAGGAAGCUGAGAAGGAACUCACUUUCAACAGUGAUCUUACAGAGUCCAGGGAACAUCUCAUACAAAGGCAGCUGAAACGCCAUUUCUUUUCAGCCCUUAACUUGCCGAUUUGGAACUUCUGUUUCUGCCACAUUUCCACCUUGCCAUCCGGGCUCCGACGAAAUGCCUACAUCUUACCCUUCAGCAACGGGGACGAGGCCCAUAUGACUGUGCUUCCACAUGCUUAAGAGGAGAGAGACAGGCUUUUUACAAUCACGGUUGUGCACUGGUGGAGAGAGUGUCAGAAAGCACCUAUGUCAGAAAGGUCCAUUUGAUCUCAGCCAUGCCCUGAAUUGCUCUAGAGGAGGAAGGCACAAUGCACUGCCUCUGGCUCCACCCCUCAAUGGCAGACGAACCACACACCUUCUUGCGUCCAGCUCUUUAGGACGCUGAGAAAGAGCUCGCAUUCCAUAGUGCUCUUAGAGCGUCCAGGGAACAUCUCAUACAAAGGCAGCUGAACGCCGUUUCUUGCAGCACUUCACUCGCCGAUCUGGAACAUCUGCAUGUGCCACAUUUCCACCUUGUCAACCCGGCUCAGACGAAAUGCCUACAACUUCCCCUUAAGCAAUGGGGACGAGGCCCGAAUGAUUGUUUUUGCACCUGCUUAGUAGGAGAGAGACAAUAGGCUUUUAACCAACCGCCCUUGAGCAAUGGUUGGGGGAGUGCCAGAAAGCACCAAUGUCAGAAAGGUCCCUUUGCUCUCAGCCGUGCCCUCCAUUGCUCUAGAGGUGGAAGGCACAAAGCACUGCCUCCAUCCUUCAAUUGCAGACAAGCCAUCAACUGUCCUGCUUCCAGCUCUUUAGGAAGCUGGGAAAGCACUCGCAUUCCACAGUGCUCUUACAGCGUCCUGGGAACAUCUCAUAGCAAGGCAGCUGAACGCCGUGUCUUUUCAGCCCUUAACUCGAAAAUCUGCAACAUCCGCUUCUGCCGCAUUUCCACCUUGCCAAUUCGGCUCAGAAGAAAUGCCUACAUCUUCCCCUUGAGCAAAGGGGAUGAGGCCCGGAUGAUUGUGGUUCCACAUGCUGAGGAGGAGACAGACAAUAGGCUUUGAACAAACCGCCUUUGAGCAAUGGUUGGGGGAGUGUCAGAAAGCACCAAUGUCAGAAAGGCCCUUUACUCUCGGCCGUGCCCUCCAUUCCUCUAGAGGCAGGAGGCACAAGGCACUGGCACCACCCCUGAAGGGGAUCAGAAAGCACCUAUGGCAGAAAGCCCCCUUUGCUCUCAGCCGUGCCCUCCACUGCUCUGCAGGUGGAAGGCACAAAGCACUGCCUCCAUCCUUCAAUGGGAGACAAGCCAUAAACUGUCUUGCCCCCAGCUCUUUAGGAAGCUGACAAACAACUCGCUUUCCAAAGUCCUGUUACAGCAGACUGGGAACUUCUCAUACAAAGGCAGCUCAAAUGGCAUUUCUUCCCAGCCCUUAACUCGCAGCUUUAGAACCUCUGCUUCUGCCGCAAUUCCACCUUGCCAACCCAGCUCAGACAAAAUGCCUACAUCUUCCCCUUAAGCAACUGGGCUGAGUCCCAAAUGAUUGUGCAACCAUGUGUUUAGCAGGAGAGAGACAAUAUGCUUUUCACCAACCACAGUUGACCACUGGUGGAGAGAGUGUCAGAAAACACCUAUGUCAGAAAGGCCCCUUUCCUCUCAGUUUUGCCCUCCAUUGCUCUAGACGUGGAAUGCACAAUGCAUUGGCUCCAACCCUCUAGGGGCGACAAGCCACAGACCAUCUUUCUUCCGUCUGUUUAGGAAGUUGAGAACCAACUCACCUGACGCAUAAAAAGGAAUCAUGCCCCUUAGAUGCCAUAAAACACCGGGAGACAUGCCAAAAACACCCUCCGCACACUCUCAAAGAACCACACAUUCAUGGCAGAACGACCCAACUGGUACACCAGAAGCACCCACGUUGCAUGCCAGAACCACCUGUAACCACCUGCUGAACACAGUGGAACAAUAAUUCUGACACUGCAGAACCAUCUCUUCAACAUGCCAGCUGCACACAACAGACACAACGGAACCAGAUUCCAAACGCAGCACAACGACAUGCCAGGCACAUUGGAAACACCUGAUGGAUAUGCCGCAAACAGGUGCCAGAAACAGUGAAACCACCUGCGGAGUAUGUCAGAACCGGAGGCCAGAAAUGCCACCAACACCUGUCUUACAAGCCAGAGCCACGAGCCCAAAAAGCAGGAAAGACCUGCUGGACAUGCCAAAAUAACCUGCUGGUGAUGCCAGAACCACUUGGAGGACACCCAGGAAUCACCUGCCAGGCAUGCCCGACGCGCCUCGCAGACGUGCCAGAACCACGUUCCGGACAUGCCAGAAACACCUCCGGGACAGACCGGAACCACCUGCCAGACUAGCCGGAACCACCUCUCAGACGUACCAGAACCACUUGCCGGACAAGCUGGAAACAUGUACUGCACAGACUGGAACCACCUGCUGAGCACGCUGGAACCAGCUGCCGGACACGCCAAAAUCACCUGCCGGCUACACCAGAACCACUUUGAGUACAAGCGGGAUAAUGUUUUGGGCAUGAUGGCACAACCUCUCAGACGUGCCAGAACCUCGUGCUGGACACCCCAGCACCACCUGCCGGACAGACCGGAACCACCUGACGGACACGCCAGAACAAGCGGCUCGACUCGCCGGAACCACCGCCGGACAUGCAAAAUCACCUGCCGGCUACGCAAGAACCACUUGGAGAACACUCUGCAAUCUCCUGCCAGGCAUGCCGGAACCACCUCUCAGACAUGCCAGACCCACAUGCCAAUGACACCGGAUGCACCUGCCGAGCAUGCCGGAACCACCUGCUCGACUCGCCAGAACCACCUAGCGGACAAGCCAAAAUCACCUGCCGGCUACGCCAGAACCACUCGGCAGACACUCCGGAAUCACCUGCCGGGCAUGCCGGAACCACCUGCCUCACAGGCCAAAAUCAUAUGCCGGCUACACCAAAACCACUUGGUGGACACUCCAGAAUCACCUUGCGGGCAUGCCGGAACCACGUCAUGGACAGACGGCAAACAACUGCCGGACCUGCCGGAAGCACCUGUCGGGCCGGCCGGAACCACCUCUCUGACGUGCCACAACCAUGUGCCUGAGAUGCCGGAACCACACCCCAAACAGAACGAAACCACCUGCCAGACCCGCCUGAACCCCCUGGCGAGCACGCCUGAUCCACCUGCUCAACUAGCCGGAACCACCUUCCUGACAUGCCAAAAUCCCCUGCGGGGUAUACCAGAACCACUUGGCGGACACUCCGGAAUCAUCUGCCGGACAUGCCAGAACCAGCUCUCAGACACACCAGAACCACGUGCCAGAGACGCCAGAAGCACCAGCUGAGCAUGCCUGAGCCACCUGCUCGACUCGCAAGAAACACCUGUCGGACAUGCCAAAAUCACCAGCCGGGUACGCCAGAAACACUUGGUGGACACUCCAGAAUCACCUUGCGGGCAUGCCGGAACCACGUCAUGCACAGACGGCAAACACCUGCCGGACCUGCCGGAACCACCUGCCGAGCACGCCGGAACCACCUGCUCGACUCACCAGAGCCACCUGCCGGACACACCAGAAACACCUGCGGGGUAUGCCAGAACCACUUGGAGGACUCUCCGGGAUCACCUGCCGGGCAUGCCGGAACCACCUCUCAGACGUGCCAGAACCAUGUGCCGGACACGCCGGAACCACCUGCCGUGUAUGCCGGAACCACCUGCUGGACACGCCAAAAUCACCUGCCGGCUACACCAGAAUCACUUGGUGGACUCUCCUGGAUCACCGGCCGGGCAUGCCGGAACCACCUCUGAGACAUACCAGAACCACGUGCCAGACACGCCGGAACCACAUCCUGGACAGACUGGACCCACCUGCCGUACAUGCCCGAACCUCCUGCCGAGAAUGCCAGAAACACCUGCUCGGCUCCCGGGAAAAUCCUACGGGGAAACUGUCAUAGAAAUGAAGGUCAAACGGCCUUUCUUGCCAGACCUUACCUCACCACUUUAGAACUUCUGUUUCUGCCACAAUUCCACCUUGCCAACCGGGCUCAGACGAAAUGCCUACAUCUUCCCCUUGAGCAAUGGGGACGAGGCCCGGAUGAUUGUGGUUCCACAUGCUGAGGAGGAGAGAGACAAUAGGCUUUUAACUAACCACCAAGUGCAAUGGUUGAGAGAGUGUCAGAAAGCACCAAUGGCAGAAAGACCCCUUUACUCUCAGCAGUGCCCUCCAUUGCUCUAGAGCAGGAAGGCACAAAGGAAUGCCUCAAUCCUUCAAUGGGAAACAAGCCAUAAAAUGUCUUGCUUCCAGCUCUUUAGGAAGCUGAGAAAGAACUCGCUUUCCACAGUGCUGUUAAAGCAUACGAGGAAACACUCGUACAAAGGCAGCUCAAACGCCAUUUCUUCCCAGUGCUUAACUCGCCGCUUUAGGAAUUCUGCUUCUGCCGCAAUUCCACCUUGCCAACCCGGCGAGACGAAAUGCCUACAUCUUGCCCUGAAGCAACUGGGCUGUGUCCCAAAUGAUUGAGCGUCCACGUGCUUAGGAGGUGAUAGACUGCACGCCUUUUUACAACCACCAUUGUGCACUGUUGGAGAGAGUGUUGGAAAGCAGCUAUGUCAGAAAGACCCCUUUGCUCUCAGCUCUGCCCUCCAUUGCUCUAGACGUGGAAUGCACAAUUAACUGGCUCCACCCCUCAAGGGGUGACAAGCCACAGACCAUCUUCCUUCCAUCUCUUUAGGAAGCUGAGAAAGAACUCGCUUUCAACAGUGCUCUUUCUGUGUCCUGGCAACAUCUCAUACAAAGGCAGCUGAUAUGCCGUUUCUUUUCAGCGCUUAACUCGCGGAUUUAGAUCUUCUGCUUCUGCCAGAUUUCCACCUUGCCAACCCCGCUCAGACAAAAUGCCUACAUCUUCCCCUUCAGCAACGGGGACGAGGCCCAGAUGAUUGUGCCUCCACAUGUUUAGCAAGAGCAGACAAUAGGCUUUUUACAAACUGCCAUUGUGCACUGGUGCAGAGAGUGUCAGAAUGCACCAAUGGCAGAAAGAUCCCUUUACUUUACUCUCAGCCGUGCCCUCCAUUGCUCUGCAGGUGGCAGGCACAAAGCACUGCCUCCAUCCUUCAAUGGGAGACAAGCCAUAAACUCUCUUGCUUCCAGCUCUUUAGGAAGCUGAGAAAGAACUCGCUUUCCACAGUGCUGUACAGCAUACGAGGAAACUCUCAUACAAAGGCAGCUCAAACACCAUUUCUUCCCAUCGCUUAACUCGCCGCUUUAGGACUUCUGCUUUUGCCGCAGUUCCACCUUGCCAACCCGGCUCAGACGAAAUCCCUACAUCUUCCCCUUGAGCAAUGGGGACAAGGCCCGGAUGAUUGUGGUUCCACAUGCUGAGGAGGAGACAGACAAUAGGCUUUUAACCAACCGCCCAUGAGCAGUGGUUGGGGUAGUGUCAGAAAGCACCAAUGUCAGAAAGGCCCUUUACUCUCGGCCGUGCCCUCCAUUCCUCUCAUGGUAGGAGGCACAAGGCACUGGCACCACCCCUGAAGGGUAUCAGAAAGCACCAAUGGCAGAAAGCCCCCUUUGCUCUCAGCCGUGCCCUCCAUUGCUCUGCAGGUGGAAGGCACAAAGCACUGCCUCAAUCCUUCAAUGAGAGAGAAGCCAUAAACUGUCUUGCCUCCAGCUCUUUAGGAAGCUGAGAAAGAACUCGCUUUCCACAGUGUUGUACAACAUACGAGGAAUCUCUCAUACAAAGUCAGCUCAAAUGCCAUUUCUUCCCAGCGCUUAACUCGCCGCUUUAGGACUUCUGCUUCUGCCGCAGUUCUACCUUGCCAACCUUGCUCAGACGAAAUGCCUACAUCUUCCCCUGAAGCAACUGGGCUGAGUCCCAAAUGAUUUAGCAUCCACCUGCUCAGGAGGCGACAGACUGUAAGCCUUUUUCCAAACACCAUUGUGCACUGGUGGAGAGAGUGUCAGAAUGCAGCUAUGUCAGAAAGACCCUUUUGCUCUCAGCCAUACCCUCCAUUGCUCUAGAUUGCAAUGCACAAUGCAUUGGCCCCACCCCUCAAGGGGCCACAAGCCACAGACCAUCUUCCUUCCUUCUCUUUAGGAAGCUGAGAGCAAACUCACCUGACGUAUAAAAAGGAAUCAUGCCCCUUAUGUGCCAGAAAACCCCGGGAGACAUGCCAAAAACACCCUCUGCACACUCUCAAAGGGCCACACAUUCAUGCCAGUAUGACCCAACAGGCAUACCAGAAGCACGCACGUUGCAUGCCAGAACCACCUGUAACCACCUGCCGGACACAGUGGAACAGUGAUUCUGACACUGCAGAACCAUCUCUUCAACAUGCCAGCCGCACACAAUGACAUGACGGAACCAGAUUCCAAACAUAGCACAACGACAUGCCAGACACAUUGUAAACACCUGUUGGAUAUGCCACAAACAGGAGCCAGAAACUCUGAAACCAGCUGAGUAUGAAAGAACGGGGGCCAGAAGUGCCACAAGCAUCUGUCUUACAAGCCAGAGCCAUGAGCGCAAAAAGCAGGAAAGACCUGCCGGACACACCAAAAUAACCUGCCGGUGACGCCAGAACCACUUGGCAGACACCCAGGAAUCACCUGCCAGGCACGCCUGAAGCACCUCACAGAUGUGCCAGAACCACGUGCCGGCCAUGCCGGAACCAGCACCCGGACAGACCAGAAGCACCUGCCAGACACGCCGGAACCACAUGCCGCGCAUGCCGGAACCACCUCUCACACAUGCCAGAACCAUGUGCCAAUGACCCCGGAAGCACCUGCCGAGCACGCCGGAACCACCUGCUCGACUCGCCAGAACCACAUGCUGGACACGCAAAAAUCACCUGCCGGCUACGCCAGAACGAGUUGGUGGACUCUCUGGAAUCACCUGCCGGGCAUGAUAGAACCACCUCUCAGACGUGCCGGAACCAUAUGCCAGACACGCCGGAACCACCUCCCGGACAGACCGGAACCACCUGCCGGACCUGCCAGAUCCAACGGUCGAGCAUGCAGGAACCACCGGCUCGACCCUCCGGAACCAAUGCCAGACAUACAAAAUCACCUGAAGUCUAUGCGAGAAGCACUUGGCAAACACUCCGGAAUCACCGGCCGGGCAUGCCAGAACCACCUCUCAGACAUGCCAGAACCACGUGCCAAUGACCCCGGAAGCACCUGCCGAGCACGCUGGAACCACCUGCUCGACUCGCCAGAACCACCUGCCAGACACGCAAAAAUCACCUGCCGGCUGCGACACAACCAGUUGGUGAACACUUCGUUAUCACGGGCCGGGCUUGCUGGAACCACCUGCCGGUCAUGCCAAAAUCACCUGCCAACUACACCAGAACUGCUUGGCGGACACUGCCCAAACACCUGUCGGGCCGGCCGGAACCACAUCUCAGACGUGCCAGAACCAUGUGCAUGAGAUGCCGGAGCCACAACCCAAACAGACGGAAACCGCCUGCCAGAACCGCCUGAACCACCUGCCAAGCACGCCGGAACCACCUGCUUGACUCGCCGGAACCACCUACCUGACACGCCAAAAUCACCUGCCGGGUACGCCAGAACCACCUGGCUGACACUCCGGAAUCAUCUCUCGCGCAUGCCGGAACCACCUCUCAGACAUGCCAGAAGGACGUGUCAGACACGCCGGAAACACAUACCGGACAGACCGGAACCACCUGCCAGACAUGCUGGAACCACCUGCCAAGCACACCGUAGCCACCUGCCCGACUCUCCGGAACCACCUGCUGGACACGCCAAAGUCAACAGCUGGCUAUGCGGGAAACACCUGGGGCGCAGUCCGGAAUCACCUGCCGGGCAUGCAGGAACCAACUCUCAGACGUGCCAGAACUGGUGCCAGACACCCCAGAACCACCUGCCGGACAGACCGCAGCCACCUGCCGGACAUGCCGAGAACAAGCGGCUCGACCCGCAUGAACCACCGCCAGACAUGCAAAAUCACCUGCCGGCUACGUCAGAACCACUUGGGGAACAAUCCGGAAUCACCUGCCAGGCAUGCCGGAACCAUCUCUCAGACAUGCCAGAACCACGUGCCUAUGACACCGGAAGCACCUGCUGAGCAUGCCUGAGCCACAUGCUCGACUUGCAAGAAACACCUGCCAGACACGCCAAAAUCACCUGCCGGGUACGCCAGAACCACGUGGCGGACACUCCGGAAUCACCUGUCGGGCAUGCAGGAACCACCUCUCAGACAUGCCUGAACCACAUGCCAAUGUCACCGGAAGCACCUGCCAAGCACGCCAGAACCACCUGCUCGACUCGCCAAAACCACCUGCUGGACACGACAAAAUCACCUGUCAGCUACGCCACAACCAUUUGGUGAACACUCCGGAAUCACCUGCCGGGCAUUCCGGGACCACCUCUCAGACUUGCCAGAACCAUGCCCAGGACACGCCGGUACCACCUGCCGAGUAUGCCGGAACCACCUGAUCCACUCCCCAGAACCACAUGCUGGACACGCCAGAAUCACCUGCCGGCUGCGCCAGAAACACUCGGCAGACACUCCGGAACCACCUGUCGGGCAUGCUGGAACCACCUCUCAGAGGUGACAGAACCACAUGCCGGACACUCCGGAAUCACCUGCCGGCCAUGCCGGAACCAUCUCUCAGACGUGCCAGAACCAUGUUCCGGACACGCCAGUACCACCUGCCAAGCUCACCACAACCACCUGCUGGACACGCCAAAAUCACCUGCCGGCUAGGCCAGAACCACUUGGCAGACACUCCGGAAUCAACUGCCGGGCUUGCUGGAACCACCUGCCGGUCACGCGAACAUCACCUGCCAGCUACGCCAGAACCACUUGGCGGACACUCCGGAAAAACCUGUCGGACCGGCCGGAACCACCUCUCAGAUGUGCCAGAACCAUGUGCCUGAGAUGCCGGAACCACACCCCGAACAGACCGAAACCACCUGCCAGACCCCCCUGAACCACCUCCCGAGCACGCCGCAACCACCUACUCGACUCGCCGGAACCACCUACCUGACACGCCAAAAUCACCUGCCGGGUAUGCCAGAACCACUUGGUGGACACUCCGGAAUCAUCUGCCGGACAUGCCAGAACCAGCUCUCAGACACACCAGAACCACAUGCCGGAUAUGCCGGAAGCACCUGCUGAGCAUGCCUGAGCCACAUGCUUGACUCACCGGAAACACCUGCCAGACACUCAAAAAUCACCUGCCGGGUACGCCAGAACCACGUGGCGGACAGUCCGGAAUCACCUGUCGGGCAUGCCGGAACCACCUCUCAGACGUGCCUUAACCUCGUGCCGGACACGCCAGAACCACCUGCCGGACAGACCAGAACCACCUGCCGGACACGAUGCAACCACCGUCUCGACUCACUGGAACCACCGCUGGACAUGCAAAAUCACCUGCCGGCUAUGCCAGAACCACUCGUCAGACACUCCGGAAUCACUUGCCAGGCUUGCUGGAACCACCUGCCGGUCACGCCAACAUCACCUGCGAGCUACGCCAGAACCACUUGGCGGACACUCCGGAAUCACCUGUCGGGCAUGCAGGAACCACCUCUCAGACUUGCCAGAACCAUGUUCAGGACACGCCGGUACCACCUGCUGAGUAUGCCGGAACUACCUGAUCCACUCCCCAGAACCACCUGCUGGACAUGCCAGAAUCACCUGCCGGCUAGGCCAGAACCACUCGGCAGACACUCUGGAACCACCUGUCGGGCAUGCCGGAACCACCUCUCAGAGGUGCCAGAACCACAUGCCGGACACUCAGGAAUCACCUGCCGGGCAUGCCGGAACCAUCUCUCAGACGUGCCAGAACCAUGUUCCGGACACGCCGGUACCACCUGCCGAGCUCGCCACAACCACCUGCUGGACACGCCAAAAUCACCUGCCGGGUAUGCCAGAACCACUUGGUGGACACUCCGGGAUCAUCUGCCGGACAUGCCAGAACCAGCUCUCAGACACACCAGAACCACAUGCCGGACAUGCCGGAAGCACCUGCUGAGCAUGCCUGAGCCACAUGCUCGACUCGCAAGAAACACCUGCCAGGCAGUCAAAAAUCACCUGCCGGGUACGCCAGAACCACGUGGCGGACACUCCGGAAUCACCUGUCGGGCAUGCCGGAACCACCUCUCAGACGUGCCUUAACCUCGUGCCGGACACGCCAGAACCACCUGCCGGACAGACCAGAACCACCUGCCGGACAUGAUGCAACCACCGUCUCGACUCACUGGAACCACCGCCGGACAUGCAAAAUCACCUGCCAGCUAUGCCAGAACCACUUGGCGGACACCAUUGAAACACCUGUCGGGCCGUCCAGAACCACCUCUCAGACGUGCCAGAACCAUGUGCCUGAGAUGCCGGAACCACAUCCCGAACAUACCGAAACCACCUGCCAGACCCGCCUGAACCACCUGCCGAGCACGCCGGAACCACCUACUCGACUCGCCGGAACCACCUACCUGACACGCCAAAAUCACCUGCCAGGUAUGCCAGAACCACUUGGCGGACACUCCGGAAUCAUCUGCCGGACAUGCCAGAACCAGCUCUCAGACACACCAGAACCACGUGCCGGACACGCCGGAAGCACGUGCUGAGCAUGCCUGAGCCACAUGCUCGACUUGCAAGAAACACCUGCCAGACACGCCAAAAUCACCUGCCGGGUACGCCAGAACCACGUGGCGGACACUCCGGAAUCACCUGUCGGGCAUGCCGGAACCACCUAUCAGGCUUGCCAGAACCAUGUUCCGGACACGCCGGUACCACCUGCCUAGUAUGCCGGAACCACCUGAUCCACUCCCCAGAACCACCUGCUGGACACGCCAGAAUCACCUGCUGGCUACGCCAGAACCACUCGGCAGACACUCCCGAACCACCUGCCGGGCAUGCCGGAACCACCUCUCAGACGUGCCAGAACCACUGCCGGACACUCCGGAAUCACCUCCCGGGCAUGCCGGAACCACCUCUCAGAGGUGCCAGAAACACAUGCCGGACACUCCGGAAUCACCUGCCGGGCAUGCUGGAACCACCUCUCAGAGGUGCCAGAACCACAUGCCGGAGACUCCGGAAUCAUCUGUCGGGCAGGCGGAACCACCUCUCAGACUUGCCAGAAUCAUGUUCUGGACAGGGCGGUACCCCCUGCAGAGUAUGCCGGAACCACCUGAUCCAUUACCCAGAACCACCUGCUAGACACACCAAAAUCACCUGCCGGCUACGCAAAAAACCACUCGGCAGACACUCCGGAACCACCUCCAGGACAACCCGGAACCACCUGCCGGACACGCCGGGACCACCUGCUUGACUCGCCAGAACCACCUGCUGGACAUGCCAAAAUAUCCUGCCGGGUACGCCUGGAACACUUGGCGGACACUCCGGAAUCACAUGUCGGGCAUGCCAGAACCACCUCUCACAACUGCCAGAACCAUUUGCCGGAAACGCCGGAACCACCAGCCGGCUACGCCACAACCACUUGUCGGACCCUCAGGAAUCACCUGCCGGGCAUGCUGGAACCAGCUCUCAGAGGUGCCACAACCACAUGCCGGAGACUGCGGAAGCAGCUGCCGAGAAUGACGGAAGUUCCUGAUCCACUCCCCAGAACCACCUGCCGGACAUGCCAAAAUCACCUGCCGGGUACGCCAGAACCACGUGGCGGACACUCCGGAAUGACCUGUCAGGCACGCCGGAACCACCUCUCAGAGGUGCCAGAACCUCGUGCCGGACACGCCAGAACCAACUGCUGGACAGACGGGAACCACCUGCCGGACGCUCCGGAACCACCGGCUCGACUCGCCGGAACCACCGCUGGACAUGCAAAAUCACCUGCCGGCUACGCCAGAACCACUUGGCGAACACUACGGAAUCACCGGCCGGGCAUGCCGGAAUCACCUGCUCGACUCGCCACAGCCACCUGCCUGACACACCAAAAUCACCUGCCGGCUAUGCCACAACCAGUUGGUGAACACUUCGGAAUCACCUGCCGGGCAUGCUGGAACCACCUGCCGGUCACGCCAACAUCACCUGUCAGCUACGCCAGAACCACUUGGCGGACACUCCGGAAUCACCAGAGCCACCUGCAGGACACGUCAAAAUCACCUGCCGGCUACCACACAACCAGUUGGUGAACACUUCGGAAUCACCUGCCGGGCUUGCUGGAACCACCUGCCGGUCACGCCAACAUCACGUGCCAGCUACGCCAGAACCACUUGGCGGACACUCCGGAAUCACCUGACGGGCAUGCUGGAACCACCUCUCAGAGGUGCCACAAACACAUGCCGGAGACGGCGGAAGCAUCUGCCGAGAAUGCCUGAAGUUCCUUAUGCACUCCCCAGAACCACCUGCCAAAGAUGCCAAAAUCACCUGCCGGGUAUGCCACAACCACUUGUCGGACACUCCAGAACCACCUGCCGGGCAUGUUGGAACCACCUCUCAGAGGUGCCACAACCACAUGCCGGAGACGGCGGAAGCACCUGCCGAGAAUGCCGGAAGUUCCUGAUCCACUACACAUAACCACCUGCUGGACACGCCAAUAUCACCUGCCGGCUACGCCAGAACCACUUGGCGGACACUCCAGAAUCACCUGCCGGGCAUGCCAGCACAACGUCUCAGAAGUGCCAGAAGCACAUGCCAGAGAGGCCGGAACCAUGUCCCGGACAGACCGGAAACACAGGAAACACUCGCCGGAACCACCUCCUUGACUCACCGGUCCCACCUGCCAGACACGCCAAAAUAACCUGCCGGCUACGCCAGAACCAUUUGGCGAACACUGCCGAAUCACCUGCCGGGCAGGUCGGAACCACCUCUCAGACAUGCCAGAACCACAUGCCAAUGACACCGGAAGCACCUGCCGAGCACGCUGGAACCACCUGCUCGACUCGCCAGAAACACCUGCCACACACGCUAAAAUCACCUUCCGGCUGCACCACAACCAGUUGGUGAACACUUCGGAAUCACCUGCCGUGCUGGCUGGACCACCUGACUGUCACGACAAAAUCACCUGCAGGCUAUGCCAGGACCACUUGGCAGACACUCCACAACCACCUCCAGGACAGACCGGAAUCACCUGCCGGACACGCCAGGACCACCUGCUUGACUCGCCAGAACCCCCUGCAGGACACCCCAAAAUCACCAGCCGGCUACCCCACAACCACUUGUCCGACACUCUGGAACCACCUGCCGGGCAUGUUGGAACCACCUCUCAGAGGUGCCACAACCACAUGCCGGAGACGGCGGAAGCACCUGCCGAGAAUGCCGGAAGUUCCUGAUCCACUCCACAGAACCACCAGCCGGACACGCCAAAAUCACCAGCCGGCUAUGCCAGAACCACUUGGCGGACACUCCAGAAUCAACUGCCUGGCAUGCCAGCACAACCUCUCACAAGUGCCAGAAGCACAUGCCGGACAGGCCGGAACCAUCUCCCAGACAGACCGGAACCACAGGAAACACUCGCCGGUGCAACCUGCUUGACUCACCGGUCCCACCUGCCGGACACGCCAAAAUCACCUGCCCGCUACACCAGAACCACUUGGUGGACAAGCCGGAAUCACAUGAAGGGCAUGCCGACACAACCUCUCAGACGUGCCAGAACCUCGUGCCGGACACCCCAGUACCACCUGCCGGACACAACGGAACCACCUGCCGGACACGCCGGAACCACCGGCUCGACUCGCCGGAACCACCGCCGGACUUGGAAAAUCACCUGCCGGCUACGCCAGAAACACUUGGCGAACACUCCGGAAUCACCUGCCAGGCAUGCCGGAACCACCUCUCAGACACGCCGGAACCACAUGCCGAACACGCCACAGCCAUCUGCUCGACUCGCCGGAACCACCUGCUGGACAGACCGGAACCACCUGCCGGACACGCCGGAACCACCGGCUCGACUCGCCGGAACCAUUGCCGGACAAGCAAAAUCACCUGCCGGCUACGCCAGAACCACUUGGCGAACACUCCGGAAUCACCUGCCGGGCAUGGCGGAACCACCUCUCAGACAUGCCGGAACCACAUGCCAAUGACACCGGAAGCACCUGCCGAGCACGCCAGAACCACCUGCUCGACUCGCCAAAACCACCUGCUGGACACGCCAAAAUCAGCUGCCGGCUACGCCACAACCAUUUGGUGAACAUUUCGGAAUCACCUGCCGGGCUGGCUGGAACCACCUGCCGGUCACACCAACAUCACCUGCUAGCUAUGCCAGAACCACUUGGCGGACACCAUGGAAACACCUGUCGGGCCGGCCGGAACCACCUCUCAGACGUGCCAGAACCAUGUGCCUGAGAUGCCGGAACCACACCCCAAUCAGAACGAAACCACCUGCCAGACCCGCCUGAACCCCCAGGCGAGCACGCCUGAUCCACCUGCUCAACUACCCGGAACCACCUUCCUGACACGCCAAAAUCACCUGCCGGGUAUACCAGAACCACUUGGUGGACACUCCGGAAUCAUCUCCCGGACAUGCCAGAACCAGCUCUCAGACACACCAGAACCACAGGCCAGAGACGCCAGAAGCACCAGCUGAGCAUGCCUGAGCCACCUGCUCGACUCGCAAGAAACACCUGUCGGACAUGCCAAAAUCACAUUCCGGGUACGCCAGAAACACUUGGCGGACACUCCGGAAUCACCUGUCGGGGAUGCCGGAACCACCUCUCAGACUUGCCAGAACCAUGUUCUGGACAGGCCAGUACCACCUGCCGAGUAUGCCGGAACCAGCUGAUCCACUCCCCAGAACCACCUACUGGACACGCCAAAAUCAACUGCCGGCUAUGCCAGAACCACACGGCAGACACUCCGGAAUCACAUGCCAGGCAUUCCGGAACCACCUCUCAGAGGUGCCAGAACCACAUGCCGGAGACUCCGGAAUCACCUGCCGGGCAUGCCGGAACCACCUAUCAAAGGUGCCAGAACCACAUGCCGGAGACUCUGGAAUCACCUGCCGGGCAUGCCGGAACCUUCUCUCAGACGUGCCACAACCACGUGCCGGAGAGACCGGAAGCACCUGCCGAACUCUCCGGAACCACCUGCCUUACAGGCCAAAAUCAUACGCCGGAUACGCCAAAACCACUUGGUGGACACUCCGGAAUCACCUUGCGGGCAUGCUGGAACCACGUCAUGGACAGACGGCAAACACCUGCCG
rnacentral:lncRNA from 1 species